ACAUCCAGAGAAUUUAGCAGAGAUGCUUUAGUGCCUUCGGGAACUCUGAGACAGGUGCUGCAUGGCUGUCGUCAGCUCGUGUUGUGAAAUUGUUGGGUUAAGUCCCCGNAACGAGCGCAACCCUUUAUCCUUUGUUGCCAGCACGUAAUGGUGGGAACUCAAAGGAGACUGCCGGUGAUAAACCGGAGGAAGGUGGGGAUGACGUCAAGUCAUCAUGGCCCUUACGAGUAGGGCUACACACGUGCUACAAUGGCGCAUACAAAGAGAAGCGACCUCGCGAGAGCAAGCGGACCUCAUAAAGUGCGUCGUAGUCCGGAUUGGAGUCUGCAACUCGACUCCAUGAAGUCGGAAUCGCUAGUAAUCGUAAAUCAGAAUGUUACGGUGAAUACGUUCCCGGGCCUUGUACACACCGCCCGUCACACCAUGGGAGUGGGUUGCAAAAGAAGUAGAUAGCUUAACCUUCGGGAGGGCGUUUACCACUUUGUGAUUCAUGACUGGGGUGAAGUCGUAACAAGGUAGGCGUAGUGCU
rnacentral:rRNA from 1 species